rnacentral:rRNA from 1 species
GUCGAGAAUUUUUCUCAAUGGGGGAAACCCUGAAGGAGCGACGCCGCGUGGAGGAUGAAGGCUUUCGGGUUGUAAACUCCUGUCAUUUGAGAACAAGGUGCGUACGUUAACUGCGUACGUAUUGAUAGUAUCAGAAGAGGAAGAGACGGCUAACUCUGUGCCAGCAGCCGCGGUAAUACAGAGGUCUCAAGCGUUGUUCGGAUUCAUUGGGCGUAAAGGGUGCGUAGGUGGCGCGGUAAGUCGGGUGUGAAAUCUCGGAGCUUAACUCCGAAACUGCAUUCGAUACUGCCGUGCUUGAGGACUGGAGAGGAGACUGGAAUUUACGGUGUAGCGGUGAAAUGCGUAGAGAUCGUAAGGAAGACCAGUGGCGAAGGCGGGUCUCUGGACAGUUCCUGACACUGAGGCACGAAGGCCAGGGGAGCAAACGGGAUUAGAAACCCUUGUAGUCC